UCUUCUUGGCCCUCACUGCAAGGGUUGGCCCUCCUUCCCAUCCCCGACCUAUGCUUUUAUUCCAAGUGGGGUGUUUUGACAAUUGAGCAAUUCCUGGCAAAGAGACAAAAAAAGUGUUAAGAGUUAGCACAGGGAGCAAGCCUUCCCCGGUUCGCAACUACACUAUUACCCCGCCCUCCAGCCAUCGCGUGAAAACGAUCCUCUCUCAGCCACGCACCCAACCGCGCCCCCCCCUACCUGCUCUCCGUUUUCCUAGCCCGCCCCCUGCGGGGCUCCAGCCCGGAGCUUCCCGGAAGACCGAGGCUUAAGCCCACGAAAGUCACGCUCGGGAGAAGGAGCGACGGCCGCCAGGGACGCGGGGGAAUCGCCUCUGCUGGAACUGCCUGCGGAAGCCCCACCGGCUAGCGGGAAGAAAUGGCCACCAGUGUGACAGACCAUGAAAAUGUAAGGAUCAUCACACAAGUCGUCCAACAAACAGAUCCGCAGGCUGUUGCUAGUGUGCUUGGGAAUACAUCCAUUGCAUCACAGCUCAAGCCAUCGCAGAGCCAAAGGCUGAAUACGCUGCCAAAGGCACUCGGGGUUGUGCAGAUUGUGUUGGGGGCUAUACAGAUAUGCUUUGGCAUUGCUCUGACAGAAGCACAAAAGAACUUUAAGAGCUUCACUGUGAAGAGUGCAGUCUACUUCUGGAUUGGGAUCUUGCUGUUGUUCUCUGGGUCCUUGUUGGUGGAAAUGGAGAAAAGAAAGCAUGCAUGGCUGGUGAAAGCCUCUUUCUUUGCUGGCUUGUUAGUCAGUGUGGCUGCAGUGAUUGCAGUCAUCCUCCAUGUUAUUGAGAUUUUACAAGAAAAGAGAAAAGGAAAUCCAUGUGAUAAGCAUCCUGACAAAGAUUGUGUUGCUAGUAGUCAGUUGAUAAUAUACAGUCUGAACUCAGUCUUCAUCAUCCUUUCACUCCUUGAACUGUCUGCAGCUGUCACUGCAUUGGUGACUGGAUUUAAAGACAGAAGACAGCAACCUUAUCAAGAGAUGGUGAGGAAGGAACCCCUCCUUGUUGUCUUACACAUUUCUGCUGCUUUGAUAUGUCUUGUUCUAAAGCACUAUCCUUCCUUGUUAUAA
rnacentral:lncRNA from 1 species